UACGGAGGGUGCAAGCGUUGCUCGGAAUUAUUGGGCGUAAAGGGCAGGUAGGUGGUCUCGUUUGUCUGGGGUGAAAGCCCUGAGCUUAACUCAGGAAGUGCCUCAGAAACGGCGAGACUAGAAUUCUAGAGAGGGUAGCGGAAUUCCCGGUGUAGCGGUGAAAUGCGUAGAGAUCGGGAGGAACACCAGCGGCGAAAGCGGCUACCUGGAUAGAUAUUGACACUCAACUGCGAAAGCGUGGGGAGCAAACAGG
rnacentral:rRNA from 1 species